rnacentral:ncRNA from 1 species
AUGUCUUAAAAUUUCAUAGCACUCCCCUUGAUAAGGAUGGAAGAUGCUCUUGGACCUGACAACACACAUAUGGUUAAGGCAUUGCCACCUACUUCGUGGCAUCUAACCAUCGUUUUAG